rnacentral:rRNA from 1 species
AGCAGCCGCGGUAAUUCCAGCUCCAAUAGCGUAUAUUAAAGUUGUUGCAGUUAAAAAGCUCGUAGUUGAACUUCGGGGUUUACUUAUUGGUCAGGCUUAAUUGUCUGUACUGGUGAGAUGAAUCUCUACCUUCUGAGGAACUUUCAUGUCAUUUAUUUGGUGUGAUKGGAAAUCAGGACUGUUACUUUGAAAAAAUUAGAGUGUUUAAAGCAGGCUAACGUCUGAAUACAUUAGCAUGGAAUAAUGAAAUAGGACGGACUGAUUCUAUUUCGUUGGUUUCUAGGAUCACCGUAAUGAUUAAUAGGGAUAGUUGGGGGCAUUAGUAUUCAAUUGUCAGAGGUGAAAUUCUUGGAUUUAUUGAAGACUAACUACUGCGAAAGCAUUUGCCAAGGAUGUUUUCAUUAAUCAAGAACGAAAGUUAGGGGAUCGAAGACGAUCAGAUACCGUCGUAGUCUUAACCAUAAACUAUGCCGACUAGGGAUCGGACGAAGUUAAUUUUAUAAUGACGCG